UAAAACUUUAUUUUAAAUUUUAGAAUAAAGAAUUGUAAAUUCUUAGGUAAUAGUUUUGU
rnacentral:tRNA from 1 species